GUGUGUGUAGGAGGAAACGGGGGUGUGUGACUGCGUCGUCAUGACGUCAGGGUUUCUCCCAUAAGAAGACCCCAGGCCCCGCCCCCUAAACGUCAUCAUCGUCAUCAUGAAGCCACGCCCCUCCACCCACACAGUUUAGAGGAGGAGGAAGAGGAGGAGGAGAAGAGAAAGAAGAGGAGUAGGAGGAGGAGGAGAGAGAGGAGAAAGCAGCUCCAGCAGGAGCAGUGGGUUGCAGGGAGCAACUUGGGCUACUUGAUACGCAGACAGACAGACAGACAGACAGAAACUGCGUCAUGCUGCGCAGAUAGCGGGUUUCCCCUCUGCUUCCUGCAUGGAGGCUGCUGAUCUUCCUCCCACUGACUCAUACAACAUGUCACAUUAUCACCUUCACCAUCAUCUCCAUCACCACCAUCAGCAUCAGCACCAUCAGCAUCAGCACCACCAUCAGCAACAGCACCAUCAGCAUCAGCAUCAGCACCUCAGCAUCAGCACCA